AUUGAACGCUGGCGGCAUGCUUUACACAUGCAAGUCGAGCGGCAGCGCGGGGGCAACCCUGGCGGCGAGCGGCGAACGGGUGAGUAAUGCAUCGGAACGUAUCCUCGAGUGGGGGAUAACCCAGCGAAAGUUGGGCUAAUACCGCAUGAGCUCUGAGGAGGAAAGCGGGGGACCUGCGAGGGCCUCGCGCUGGAGGAGCGGCCGAUGUCCGAUUAGCUAGUUGGUGGGGUAAAGGCUUACCAAGGCGACGAUCGGUAGCUGGUCUGAGGAUGAUCAGCCACACUGGGACUGAGACACGGCCCAGACUCCUACGGGAGGCAGCAGUGGGGAAUUUUGGACAAUGGGGGCAACCCUGAUCCAGCCAUGCCGCGUGAGUGAAGAAGGCCUUCGGGUUGUAAAGCUCUUUCGGACGGAACGAAAUGGGCGGGACUAAUACUCCUGUCUGAUGACGGUACCGUAAGAAGAAGCACCGGCUAACUACGUG
rnacentral:rRNA from 1 species